ensembl:snoRNA
GCUGUUCGGUGAUGAGGCUCAGAGUGCACGCUGGGCACAGCGCCCGAAUCAGACACUGUGGAACCAUUCUCUACUGCCUUCCUUCUGAGAACAGC